AAAAAGCUUGAAGUAACACUGACCACUCACUGCUCCAUAGGGAUUUUCCAAACGUCAAGGUGAGGGUAGGAAAUUGUAAUGCUCACCCUUGGGGCAAAUGUUGCCAGUAUUCUCUUCAGAAACAGCUCCUCUGCUCUGCGUUGCUUGUGCUUAAGGUAAAACUCCCCUUAUUGUUGCAGGAGCCAAGGGGGGCAUCAGAGCUCACUGUCCGAUCUGGCCCUUACUGCCAAACAGGAAUGGUAUCCUUAAUGGACAGAUUCAUGCUACAUAUCCAAUAUCCAGUUGGAGCUGGGGCACCACAAAAUGAUAACAGGAUGAUGCUAGGCCAGGAUCAACGAGAGUUCAAGAGUGUGAAACUGGGUAAAGUGGAACAUUUGAAAGACAGAAGAAGGAAGAAGAAGAGGAGGGAGAGAAAACAGGAAGAAUUACUGCCUGGGAAAUUCAGACAGCCAAUGCGGGCUUUGUGGCGUGCUGUGAAGAGUCAAGGGGCUUGUUUUAAGUGCUGACUACCAUGGACAUGUCCCAGGAUUUGGUACAAACCACUUAAACUUUCUGGCCUCAGUGAACAAUUUUAAAAAAAAUGAAGGAAAAUCAAUCAUUAAGAUCACUAAGGAUUUCCUAAUCGCAAAUAUUUACGAUUCCAAAUUGACAUUUUCAGGAAACAUACAAUCAUACAUACACACAAAAAAAUGUGGAUUUUUUGUCCAAAUGAUCCAUAUAGUUAUUUUAUGUCCCUGGUUCAGUAGACACAGGCAUGCUAUGUCUUGCUGCCACUGUAUAUCAUUCCUAGGUGCAAAGUCUAAGCAUUUCCUGCCUGUCUGGGAAGAAAAAAAGGUCUAAAAGUAAAUUAUUUAAGGUCAUACAAGCAAAUAGUGGGAGAGCUUUCAAAAACUCUUAAACAAUUGAACUGAGUGCAAAUCUUUACAGUUUGGAUGAUGAAGGUAAAGAACUUCGAAUAUUUGUUGAGACAAAUCGGUGCAUAUACAACACUGAAAAUCAAAUUGACUUCUUUGGGGGGGUCAUUGUUGAAAUUUAUUAUUGGUUUCUGGAUGCCAAGAGUGGGCAAUUUAGAACUCAGGACUGUUAAGUCAAAUGUUAAUUGUAUCUACCACAAGUUCUUUAAUUUAUGAUGACUUAGAAAUAAUAGUCCAAAUGAAAGUUAUGAG